GAAAUGCGAUAAGUAAUGUGAAUUGCAGAAUUCAGUGAAUCAUCGAAUCUUUGAACGCACCUUGCGCUCCUUGGUAUUCCUUGGAGCAUGCCUGUUUGAGUAUCAUGAAAUCUUCAAAGUAAAUCUUUUGUUAACUCAAUUGGUUUCUACUUUGGUAUUGGAGGUCUUUGCAGCUUCACACCUGCUCCUCUUUGUUCAUUAGCUGGAUCUCAGUGUUAUGCUUGGUUCCACUCGGCGUGAUAAGUUAUCUAUCGCUGAGGACACUGUAAAAGGUGGCCAAGGUAAAUCCAGAUGAACCGCUUCUAAUAGUCCAUUGACUUGGACAAUACUUUUAUGAUCUGAUCUCAAAUCAGGUAGGACUACCCGCUGAACUUAAGC
rnacentral:misc_RNA from 1 species